CAGCACCUCAAGUGGUCAGGAUGAUUAUUGGGCCUAAAGCAUCCGUAGCCGGCUCUGUAAGUUUUCGGUUAAAUCUGUACGCUCAACGUACAGGCUGCCGGGAAUACUGCAGAGCUAGGGAGUGGGAGAGGUAGACGGUACUCGGUAGGAAGGGGUAAAAUCCUUUGAUCUAUUGAUGACCACCUGUGGCGAAGGCGGUCUACCAGAACACGUCCGCCGGUGAGGGAUGAAAGCUGGGGGAGCAAACCGGAUUAGAUACCCGAGUAGUCC
rnacentral:rRNA from 1 species